CAAUAGCGUAUAUUAAAGUUGUUGCGGUUAAAAAGCUCGUAGUUGGAUUUCUGUUGAGAGCAGCCGGUCUGCACUUGGUGCAUGUAUCUGGUUUGAUCUCGGCAUCCUCUCAAAAUACGUUUCUGCGCUUGAUUGCGUGGAGCGGAGUUUGGGACUUUUACUUUGAGGAAAUUAGAGUGUUCACGGCAGGCAAUCGCCUUGAAUAUAUUAGCAUGGAAUAAUAAUAUAGGAUCUUGGUUCUAUUUUGUUGGUUUCUAGAGCUAAGAUAAUGAUUAAUAGGGACAAUUGGGGGCAUUCGUAUUAACGCGUCAGAGGUGGAAUUCUUGGAUCGCGUUACGACGAACUACUGCGAAAGCAUUUGCCAAGGAUGUUUUCAUUGA
rnacentral:rRNA from 1 species